rnacentral:rRNA from 1 species
AUCGACGGCGGUGUUUGGCACCUCGAUGUCGGCUCAUCACAUCCUGGGGCUGAAGCCGGUCCCAAGGGUAUGGCUGUUCGCCAUUUAAAGUGGUACGCGAGCUGGGUUUAGAACGUCGUGAGACAGUUCGGUCCCUAUCUGCCGUGGACGUUUGAGAUUUGAGAGGGGCUGCUCCUAGUACGAGAGGACCGGAGUGGACGAACCUCUGGUGUUCCGGUUGUCACGCCAGUGGCAUUGCCGGGUAGCUAUGUUCGGAAAAGAUAACCGCUGAAAGCAUCUAAGCGGGAAACUUGCCUCAAGAUGAGAUCUCACUGGAGCCUUGAGCUCCCUGAAGGGCCGUCGAAGACUACGACGUUGAUAGGCAGGGUGUGUAAGCGCUGUGAGGCGUUGAGCUAACCUGUACUAAUUGCCCGUGAGGCUUGACCAUAUAACACCCAAGCAAUU